GAACUGCGAUACGUAAUGUGAAUUGCAGAACUCCGUGAAUCAUCAAAUUUUUGAACGCAAGUUGCUCUUCUGGGGUUACUCCUGGGAGAAUACCUGUUUGAGUGUUAUCAACCUUUAUCACCUCCAAAAGUUAUCUUUUGCUGAUGGUGGACAUUGAGAGUCUGUCGCAAGACAGUCUCUUUAAAUCCAAACGCUGGUAAUGAAACAGUAGGUACGAUCUUUUACCGCUGAUUGGUAGUUCCGAAAGGAAUAUAUCUUUCAGAUGGCAAAGGUUAGUGCUGUGAUUUACUGGUAUUGCAUCCUGAAAUCUCGUUUAGAAAUUUCUUUUUGAACAUAACCUCAAAUCAGGUAAGACUACCCGCUGAAUUUAA
rnacentral:misc_RNA from 1 species